rnacentral:rRNA from 1 species
UUGACCUCGGAUCAGGUAGGAAUACCCGCUGAACUUAAGCAUAUCAAUAAGCGGAGGAAAAGAAACCAACAGGGAUUGCCCUAGUAACGGCGAGUGAAGCGGCAACAGCUCAAAUUUGAAAUCUGGCUCUCGGGCCCGAGUUGUAAUUUGUAGAGGAUACUUUUGAUGCGGUGCCUUCCGAGUUCCCUGGAACGGGACGCCAUAGAGGGUGAGAGCCCCGUCUGGUUGGAUGCCAAAUCUCUGUAAAGUUCCUUCGACGAGUCGAGUAGUUUGGGAAUGCUGCUCUAAAUGGGAGGUAUAUGUCUUCUAAAGCUAAAUACCGGCCAGAGACCGAUAGCGCACAAGUAGAGUGAUCGAAAGAUGAAAAGCACUUUGAAAAGAGAGUUAAAAAGUACGUGAAAUUGUUGAAAGGGAAGCGUUUAUGACCAGACUUGGGCUUGGUUAAUCAUCUGGGGUUCUCCCCAGUGCACUUUUCCAGUCCAGGCCAGCAUCAGUUUUCCCCGGGGGAUAAAGACUUCGGGAAUGUGGCUCUCUUCGGGGAGUGUUAUAGCCCGUUGUGUAAUACCCUGGGGGGGACUGAGGUUCGCGCAUCUGCAAGG